GAUGAACGCUGGCGGCGUGCCUAAUACAUGCAAGUCGAGCGAACGGACGAGAAGCUUGCUUCCCUGAUGUUAGCGGCGGACGGGUGAGUAACACGUGGAUAACCUACCUAUAAGACUGGGAUAACUUCGGGAAACCGUAGCUAAUACCGGAUAAUAUUUUGAACCGCAUGGUUCAAAAGUGAAAGACGGUCUUGCUGUCACUUAUAGAUGGAUCCGCGCUGCAUUAGCUAGUUGGUAAGGUAACGGCUUACCAAGGCAACGAUGCAUAGCCGACCUGAGAGGGUGAUCGGCCACACUGGAACUGAGACACGGUCCAGACUCCUACGGGAGGCAGCAGUAGGGAAUCUUCCGCAAUGGGCGAAAGCCUGACGGAGCAGCGCCGCGUGAGUGAUGAAGGUCUUCGGAUCGUAAAACUCUGUUAUUAGGGAAGAACAUAUGUGUAAGUAACUGUGCACAUCUUGACGGUACCUAAUCAGAAAGCCACGGCUAACUACGUG
rnacentral:rRNA from 1 species